rnacentral:rRNA from 1 species
AUGCAGUCGAGCGGACCGACGGGAGCUUGCUCCCUUAGGUCAGCGGCGGACGGGUGAGUAACACGUGGGUAACCUGCCUGUAAGACUGGGAUAACUCCGGGAAACCGGGGCUAAUACCGGAUGCUUGAUUGAACCGCAUGGUUCAAUCAUAAAAGGUGGCUUUUAGCUACCACUUACAGAUGGACCCGCGGCGCAUUAGCUAGUUGGUGAGGUAACGGCUCACCAAGGCGACGAUGCGUAGCCGACCUGAGAGGGUGAUCGGCCACACUGGGACUGAGACACGGCCCAGACUCCUACGGGAGGCAGCAGUAGGGAAUCUUCCGCAAUGGACGAAAGUCUGACGGAGCAACGCCGCGUGAGUGAUGAAGGUUUUCGGAUCGUAAAACUCUGUUGUUAGGGAAGAACAAGUACCGUUCGAAUAGGGCGGUACCUUGACGGUACCUAACCAGAAAGCCACGGCUAACUACGUGCCAGCAGCCGCGGUAAUACGUAGGUGGCAAGCGUUGUCCGGAAUUAUUGGGCGUAAAGCGCGCGCAGGCGGUUUCUUAAGUCUGAUGUGAAAGCCCCCGGCUCAACCGGGGAGGGUCAUUGGAAACUGGGGAACUUGAGUGCAGAAGAGGAGAGUGGAAUUCCACGUGUAGCGGUGAAAUGCGUAGAGAUGUGGAGGAACACCAGUGGCGAAGGCGACUCUCUGGUCUGUAACUGACGCUGAGGCGCG